rnacentral:rRNA from 1 species
GCUGGCGGCAGGCCUAACACAUGCAAGUCGAGCGGUAACAGAUCCAGCUUGCUGGAUGCUGACGAGCGGCGGACGGGUGAGUAAUGCAUAGGAAUCUGCCCGAUAGUGGGGGAUAACCUGGGGAAACCCAGGCUAAUACCGCAUACGUCCUACGGGAGAAAGGGGGCUCCGGCUCCCGCUAUGGGAUGAGCCUAUGUCGGAUUAGCUAGUUGGUGAGGUAACGGCUCACCAAGGCGACGAUCCGUAGCUGGUCUGAGAGGAUGAUCAGCCACAUCGGGACUGAGACACGGCCCGAACUCCUACGGGAGGCAGCAGUGGGGAAUAUUGGACAAUGGGGGAAACCCUGAUCCAGCCAUGCCGCGUGUGUGAAGAAGGCCCUCGGGUUGUAAAGCACUUUCAGCGAGGAAGAACGCCUAGCGGUUAAUACCCGCUAGGAAAGACAUCACUCGCAGAAGAAGCACCGGCUAACUCCGUGCCAGCAGCCGCGGUAAUACGGAGGGUGCAAGCGUUAAUCGGAAUUACUGGGCGUAAAGCGCGCG